rnacentral:rRNA from 1 species
UACGUAGGCCGCAAGCGUUGUUCGGAGUUACUGGGCGUAAAGGGUGUGUAGGCGGUUGGUUAAGUUUGGUGUGAAAUCUCCCGGCUCAACUGGGAGGGUGCGCCGAAUACUGAAUGUCUUGGAGUGCGGGAGAGGAAAGUGGAAUUCCUGGUGUAGCGGUGAAAUGCGUAGAUAUCAGGAGGAACACCGGUGGUGUAGACGGCUUUCUGGACCGUAACUGACGCUGAGACACGAAAGCGUGGGUAGCAAACAGG